GAAACGCACCAGGGGUGCCUGUGUCUGCUUUAGUACUGGCCAUUUGGCUAAAGGAUGGAGCAGUUCAGGCUGAGAAAGUCCCUUUGAACCUGAACAGGAUAAUGCCUGCGUAGGGAGUGUGCAUUUUCUUUUCC
rnacentral:ncRNA from 1 species